rnacentral:rRNA from 1 species
GAUGAACGCUGGCGGCGUGCCUAAUACAUGCAAGUCGAGCGAACGGACGAGAAGCUUGCUUCUCUGAUGUUAGCGGCGGACGGGUGAGUAACACGUGGAUAACCUACCUAUAAGACUGGGAUAACUUCGGGAAACCGGAGCUAAUACCGGAUGAUAUUUUGAACCGCAUGGUUCAAAAGUGAAAGACGGUCUUGCUGUCACUUAUAGAUGGAUCCGCGCUGCAUUAGCUAGUUGGGAAGGUAACGGCUUACCAAGGCAACGAUGCAUAGCCGACCUGAGAGGGUGAUCGGCCACACUGGAACUGAGACACGGUCCAGACUCCUACGGGAGGCAGCAGUCGGGAAUCUUCCGCAAUGGGGGAAAGCCUGACGGAGCAACGCCGCGUGAGUGAUGAAGGUCUUCGGAUCGUAAAACUCUGUUAUUAGGGAAGAACAUAUGUGUAAGUAACUGUGCACAUAUUGACGGUACCUAAUCAGAAAGCCACGGCUAACUACGUG